GGUCCUGUAGUGAAUUAACAUAUUGAAUUGCAAAUUCAAAGAAGCAGCUUCGAACUCUGCCGGGGCUU
rnacentral:tRNA from 1 species